UACAGAGGGUGCAAGCGUUAAUCGGAAUUACUGGGCGUAAAGCGUGCGUAGACGGUUAUGUAAGUCGGGUGUGAAAGCCCCGGGCUCAACCUGGGAAUGCCAUUCGAGACUGCAUAGCUAGGGUGCGGAAGAGGGAAGCGGAAUUUCCGGUGUAGCGGUGAAAUGCGUAGAUAUCGGAAGGAACACCAGUGGCGAAAGCGGCUUCCUGGUCCAGCACCGACGUUCAGGCACGAAAGCGUGGGGAGCAAACAGGAUUAGAUACCCUGGUAGUCCACGCCAUAAACGAUGAGAACUAGACGUUGAGAGGGUAAGCCUCGCAGUGUCGUAGCUAACGCGCUAAGUUCUCCGCCUGGGGAGUACGGCCGCAAGGUUGAA
rnacentral:rRNA from 1 species